GACGAACGCUGGCGGCGUGCCUAAUACAUGCAAGUAGAACGCUGAAGGAGGAGCUUGCUCUUCUGGAUGAGUUGCGAACGGGUGAGUAACGCGUAGGUAACCUGCCCGGUAGUGGGGGAUAACUAUUGGAAACGAUAGCUAAUACCGCAUAAUAACAGUUGUUGCAUGACAACUGUUUGAAAGGUGCAAUUGCAUCACUACCAGAUGGACCUGCGUUGUAUUAGCUAGUUGGUGGGGUAACGGCUCACCAAGGCGACGAUACAUAGCCGACCUGAGAGGGUGAUCGGCCACACUGGGACUGAGACACGGCCCAGACUCCUACGGGAGGCAGCAGUAGGGAAUCUUCGGCAAUGGACGAAAGUCUGACCGAGCAACGCCGCGUGAGUGAAGAAGGCUUUCGGAUCGUAAAGCUCUGUUGUAAGAGAAGAACGAGUGUGAGAGUGGAAAGUUCACACUGUGACGGUAUCUACCAGAAAGG
rnacentral:rRNA from 1 species